rnacentral:rRNA from 1 species
UACGUAGGUCCCGAGCGUUGUCCGGAUUUAUUGGGCGUAAAGCGAGCGCAGGUGGUUUAUUAAGUCUGGUGUAAAAGGCAGUGGCUCAACCAUUGUAUGCAUUGGAAACUGGUAGACUUGAGUGCAGGAGAGGAGAGUGGAAUUCCACGUGUAGCGGUAAAAUGCGUAGAUAUAUGGAGGAACACCGGUGGCGAAAGCGGCUCUCUGGCCUGUAACUGACACUGAGGCUCGAAAGCGUGGGGAGCAAACAGG